rnacentral:rRNA from 1 species
CUUCCUACGGGAGGCAGCAGUGGGGAAUAUUGGACAAUGGGGGAAACCCUGAUGCAGCGACGCCGCGUGAGUGAAGAAGUAUUUCGGUACGUAAAGCUCUAUCAGCAGGAAAGAAAAUGACGGUACCUGACUAAGAAGCCCCGGCUAACUACGUGCCAGCAGCCGCGGUAAUACGUAGGGGGCAAGCGUUAUCCGGAUUUACUGGGUGUAAAGGGAGCGUAGACGGAGGAGCAAGUCUGGAGUGAAAAUCCGGGGCCCAACCCAGGAACUGCCUUGGAAACUGUUUAUCUAGAGUGUCGGAGAGG